AGCGAACGCUGGCGGCAGGCCUAACACAUGCAAGUCGAACGAACUCUUCGGAGUUAGUGGCGGACGGUGAGUAACACGUGGGAACGUGCCUUUUGGUUCGGAAUAACUCAGGGAAACUUGUGCUAAUACCGAAUGUGCCCUUCGGGGGAAAGAUUUAUCGCCAUUAGAGCGGCCCGCGUCUGAUUAGCUAGUUGGUGAGGUAACGGCUCACCAAGGCGACGAUCAGUAGCUGGUCUGAGAGGAUGACCAGCCACACUGGGACUGAGACACGGCCCAGACUCCUACGGGAGGCAGCAGUGGGGAAUCUUGCGCAAUGGGCGAAAGCCUGACGCAGCCAUGCCGCGUGAAUGAUGAAGGUCUUAGGAUUGUAAAAUUCUUUCACCGGGGACGAUAAUGACGGUACCCGGAGAAGAAGCCCCGGCUAACUUCGUG
rnacentral:rRNA from 1 species